CCUACGGGUGGCUGCAGUGGGGAACAUUGGACAAUGGGGGCAACCCUGAUCCAGCCAUGCCGCGUGUGUGAAGAAGGCCCUCGGGUUGUAAAGCACUUUCAGUGAGGAAGAACGCCUGGUGGUUAAUACCCAUCAGGAAAGACAUCACUCACAGAAGAAGCACCGGCUAACUCCGUGCCAGCAGCCGCGGUAAUACGGAGGGUGCGAGCGUUAAUCGGAAUUACUGGGCGUAAAGCGCGCGUAGGUGGCUUGAUAAGCCGGUUGUGAAAGCCCCGGGCUCAACCUGGGAACGGCAUCCGGAACUGUCAAGCUAGAGUGCAGGAGAGGAAGGUAGAAUUCCCGGUGUAGCGGUGAAAUGCGUAGAGAUCGGGAGGAAUACCAGUGGCGAAGGCGGCCUUCUGGACUGACACUGACACUGAGGUGCGAAAGCGUGGGUAGCAAACAGGAUUAGAUACCCUAGUAGUC
rnacentral:rRNA from 1 species